AGUGCGCAUGCGUCUUCCCCGGGAGCCCACAGGGGUCUGAGGUUGACACCGGAGGCGCGAGGAGUGGGGACGGGUCGCGGCUGUCCCAGCUCCUGGAGGCGCAGGGUAGGGGUGGGGUCCCAUAGAUGUCAGACUCGGUCUGCAAGUAUCGUCGGCCUUCAUUUGUAGGUGAACAAGCCGAGAUUAUUGCGGCGUGGUAGGACUUGUGGUCGCCACGAAGGGGCCAGCUCCAUCCGGAAUCUGUAAUCCUCCAGCAGUUUCCCCGCCCCGCGCAUGUGAAAUAUGUAGCCCUCCGUAUUCAUUCUAGAAACUUCUGGGAACCCAGCGCCUUGGGGAGAUAGAACCGAGCCAGAUGUUCCCCCGCUGCGAGGAACUCAGAACCUGCAUAAAUAGAGAAGGUGGCAUAUAGUAGGGAGACCAGUAAUUCCAUUGAGCGCUGAUUUUGGGCCAGGCACGAUACAAGCAUUAUCUCUGCAAAACAUCUUAUUCAUUCGUUCAGCAAACGUUUCUUGAACUCUCAGAAGGAUGAAGGAAGUUUACCCAGCUAGUAAGUGGAAGAACUGGUAUUGGAACCCGAUCUGUCUGACUGCAGAGUUCCACAAUCUUGCUGCCAAAUUAUGUGGAGAUAACAAUGACUAUUUUAUGUCAUCUAUUCAUUCUUCCAGCCUAUCAGCCUCCUGUGUCUUAAGCAGAGUGGAGACGGGGGUGGAUCCAGGCACACCAGUUCCACGCCACAGGCUUCUGCAGUUCCUGCAAACUGUUCCCAUCCCGCCCCGCGUUGCACGUCGGGAUUUGGAGUUCGCGAUGCUGAGCGUUGUUUCCACGUGGCGAUUCCGACUUGACCCGUCGUGCUCUGGCGCCCGCCUAGGGGGACCUAGGAGUCUGUCAUUUCUUGCCUUGUUAGGGUGCGGAACGAAAACCAUUUGAUUUAUCCUAGAAAAGGAAAGGCUGAAGGCAACUAAGUAAAAGUUUUCCAUUAAAUGAAUGCAAGUUGUAGAAAAGGAAUGUUCAGCUGCCCUACAAAUCCGGAGGUAGAAAUCGGGGAGGGGGGAAGGAAUUAAAUAGGACAUAAACACACACACACACUCUUGCGGGGGUGUUUGGGUAUGGAAAGUAGGUCCGAUUGCAGAAUUUAUUUUAAAUGAUUCCCGCAACCUUGGGAAGUUGGGAAGUGGUGAAUCCGCUGCCAAAAGGUAUUUGUGCUUAUGGUAAAUCCAGGUCUUAAAAUUCUGUAGACUGGUAGCUAUAUGGAUAUGAUUUUAAUAGACGAGUUUCAGGAAGACUCUCAAACUGUUUAUUUUUGUUGUUGUUUAAAAACUUACUUGAAAUAUAUUGGAAACCACAUAUACAUAAUAUCUCACACACACUACAUAAAGAAGUAAAAAUUCCUUUCCCCAUUUCUUUCAUCCUAUCCAAUUUGUAGAGUCAUAACCAUUCUUAAUAAUUUGAUGGGUAUUCAUUUCUUCCCUAAAUUUAUAUAUCUAGAACUAGAGCUAGAGUGUAUGCCUACACACACACACACACACACACACACACACCCAUACAUAUAUAUUCAAGCAUAAUAUAUGUAUAUCCACAUGUAUUCAAACACAGAAUUAUGUUUAGAUAAUUACGGUUAUAUGCUGGUAUGCCAGAGCCAGACUGCCUGGCUUCGGUUCCAGGCCCUAGAUGGAUAGCUUUGGGCUACUCAGCCUCUCUAUGCCUGGACUUCUUCAUCUUUGAAACGGGAUAAUAAUAAUACUUAUCCCAUAAAGUUCUUGUGAGAAUUAAAUGAAAUAAUAUAUGAAAAGCCCUUAGAACAGGCAUUGACACAUUGUGAAGGUAAUGUAUUAGCUAUUUUGAUGAUUAUGCAUUUUGUCUGCAACUUGAUUUUUAUUUAACAUUUGAGGGAAUGUAGACAAACAUAGCCAUUUUCAAUGAUUCCGUAAUAUUCCAUAGCAUGAGUAUACCAUUGUUUAUCCAACCAUUUCUCUCUUGAGAAACAUUGCAGAUUUUUUUGCAGUUUCUACGAUUACAAAUAAUGCUGCAAUAAACAUCUUUCUACAUAUA